rnacentral:piRNA from 1 species
UGCCAGGGCAACUGAACUGUGGACCAGGU